rnacentral:lncRNA from 1 species
UGUGGUUAUAUCGAAGCCUCGAGAAGCCUGAAGUCAGGCGGGAAGAGUCCUACAGUGUCCUGUGCGUGCCAAACAAGACAUUGUCCUAGCUGGGUGUGGUGGUUCACAACUUGCUCAGCAGGUGAAAGUGCUGCCAUCUACUCUGCCAUCCACCCUGAUGAAGAAACCAUGGGGAAAUUAACAAGGGCAGCUGUGGCGCACACCCCUGUCACUUCUACACUCAGGAGCCUGAGGCAGGAUUGUGGGUUCCAGACCAGCCGGGCUGUAGAACAGUCCUGUGUCUAAAAGAAGAAGUCAUCGAGAACUGGAGAAUGCAUGCAAGCAGGCCUGGUGGCUUAAAUGAGGAGCAGCAUUUGUGGUCAGGCUGACUCCACAUGGUGGAAAGGGAGCUGAUGCCUGCCAGCUGUUCUCUGACUUCCACAGGCACGGAACAAAGGAGCCACCACACUCUGUGGGAAAGCUGUGGCAUAACCCUGGGAUGAAAUUCUGAGCUGGAGAGAUGGACAGUGGUUAAGAGCAUUGACUGCUCUUCUAGAGGACCUGGGUUCAAUUCCCAGCACCCAUAUGGCCGGUCACAACUGUCUGCAACUCCAGGAUCUAACACCCUCACAGAGAUGUACAUGCAGGCAAAACAUCAGUAAGCCUAAAAUUAAAAAAUGAAUUAUUUAAUAAAGGAGUGAAAUUCACACAACACGAAUGAACCAUUUAAAGAUGCACAGUUUAGUGGCUUGGGUACAUCAUGUCUAACCACCCCUCUUCCUAGUUCCAGGACAGCUAGAGGGGACCAAGAAGAGAUGUUAAGGACCUUUCAAUUCACCAUUCAUUCAAUUGAAAGUCUCCUCCCUCCAGGCUGCAGAGAGAACAACUAAAUAUUUACCCCUGACAAACAUCAUUGGGGUGGAUGACCCAAAUCGCCCCGGUGACGAUUCUAGGCUGCAGUGUUUUCCUGCUGUCGGGAACUUCCAGAGAGAGGUCAGCCAGGUGACCUUCCAGUGGCCCAUCCUCAGUAGAGAUGCCAGAGAGACCUGUGAAAGGGCCUUUGACUCUAGUGUGCUGUUUCUUGCCUCCUUCUAGAAAAACUUAGCCACUGUUUCUUUGCUUUGCCAGCAGGAGUCUCUGUGAUUUCUGAUCGCUGCAUGCAGCGGCCUCUCAGCAGAAGUCUUACCUUGUUGUCGAUGUAGGGAGGGACCCUUCCAUCCUUGGCUGGGAUGAACUGGGGAGGCUGUGGUCUGGGAGUGAAAGGUGCACCUUGGGAAGACAGGACAUGGCUUGAUCUCUAGUGAUGAGUAGAUUUUCCUGGCUGUGAAGUUCUCUCACACACUAAGAUCUAAUAUGGAAACCUAAGGCUCACAUCGGGGGAGCCAGGCUCUGCGGAUAAAGGGAACUCGGGGUAUAUCUCUCUGGUUCUUCAUUUUAGUCUGGAGGAGGCUUGAUGGGAUACCCCAGCCCUGAGGGUACCAUCACAAACCCACAGACCCGGCUUCUGCUGUUUCCAGAGAAACAGCUCAGCUGUGGAGUGGAUGCUCUGUCAAUAGCUUCCAGGCCAUGAAAGCUCACCAAGACAUGUCCCCAGCCACUCACCAAUCUUCAGAAUUCUCCACCGGGAGACCCCAUGAAGUCCACGGUGUUUCUCACGAUUUCCUGGUCCGUAGACUCUGUCCGUGGCCACCACCCAUCUUUCUCUCACAACCCUUGCAUCUUGAUGGGGCCUGGCCAGGGUUAGAUUGCUUUUUUUCUGGAGGCAGGGUCUUGUGUUGCUGUGUCUGGUCUUGAAUGUAUUAUGUAGCCAAGGAUGACCUUGGACACUUUAAUCCUCCUGUUUUCACCUCCUGAUUGCUAGGAUUGCAGGUGUUUACCACCAUGUCUGAUUCAUGGGGGUCUGGGGAUCAAACCCAGGGCUUUGUGCAUGCGGCCUUCAUCUUGCUUCCUAACUGCUCUAUUCUGUAUGGGCUUCUAGAGCCCUGAAGACAGCCUGUCUGAAGAAACCAUCAGGCUGAUGUAUUACCCAGCACUCUUUAUCUCUACCUGCUCAGGAGGUCAGCAACAUCAGGAGGGCCAGAGCCUGGCUGGGAGGCUCGGAGUCCUUGGCUUUAAAAGAUUCCUUAAAUGUAUGGCUCAGCCGUGUCUG